GAUGAACGCUGGCGGCGUGCCUAAUACAUGCAAGUCGAACGCUGGAAAUCUAGCUUGCUAGAUUGAAGGAGUGGCGAACGGGUGAGUAAUACAUAAGCAACCUACCCACGAAGACUGGGAUAAUCUCUGGAAACGGGGACUAAUACCGGAUAGGUAAUCGGAAGGCAUCUUCUGAUUAUUAAAGGUUAAAAACACUGGUGGAUAGGCUUAUGGCGCAUUAGUUAGUUGGUGAGGUAACGGCCCACCAAGACGAUGAUGCGUAGCCGGCCUGAGAGGGUGAACGGCGACAUUGGGACUGAGACACGGCCCAGACGCCUACGGGAGGCAGCAGUAGGGAAUUUUCGGCAAUGGGGGAAACCCUGACCGAGCAACGCCGCGUGAGUGAUGACGGCCUUCGGGUUGUAAAGCUCUGUUGUAAGGGAAGAACGGUAGAUAGAGAAUAUCUAAAUGACGGUACCUUACCAGAAAGCCACGGCUAACUACGUG
rnacentral:rRNA from 1 species